rnacentral:rRNA from 1 species
UACGUAGGGUGCAAGCGUUGUCCGGAAUUAUUGGGCGUAAAGAGCUCGUAGGCGGUUUGUUGCGUCGGCUGUGAAAUCCCGAGGCUCAACCUCGGGUCUGCAGUCGAUACGAGCAAACUAGAGUGUUGCAGGGGAGACUGGAAUUCCUGGUGUAGCGGUGAAAUGCGCAGAUAUCUGGGGGAAGGCCGGCGGCGAAGGCGGGUAUCUGGGAGAUUCCUGACACUGAGGCGCGAAAGCGUGGGGAGCAAACAGG